rnacentral:rRNA from 1 species
CAGUCGCCACGGUAAUACGUAGGUGGCAAGCGUUGUCCGGAAUUAUUGGGCGUAAAGGGCUCGCAGGCGGUUUCUUAAGUCUGAUGUGAAAGCCCCCGGCUCAACCGGGGAGGGUCAUUGGAAACUGGGAAACUUGAGUGCAGAAGAGGAGAGUGGAAUUCCACGUGUAGCGGUGAAAUGCGUAGAGAUGUGGAGGAACACCAGUGGCGAAGGCGACUCUCUGGUCUGUAACUGACGGUGAGGAGCGAAAGCGUGGGGAGCGAACAGGAUUAGAUACCCCCGUAGUCCCUGUCUCUUAUAA